rnacentral:lncRNA from 10 species
CAAAAGGGAAAAAGCCCCUAAUAAAACCAUCUCGUGAGAAGUCACUCACUAUCACGAUAAUAGCAGCAUGGGGGUAACUGACCCCAUGGCUCAAUUACCUCCCACUGGGUCCCUCCCACAACAUGUGAGGUUUAUGGGAACUACAAUUCAACAUGAGUUUUGAGUGGGAACACAGCCGAACCAUAUCAAGCAUGGAACUCCUCAUUAGAAAGCCUGCUGGUCAGCUAUCCCAUUACUGGGUAUAUACCCAAAAGAUUAUAAAUCAUGCUGCUAUAAAGACACAUGCACACGUAUCUGGCUUAUAUGGGCAACAGCAACCUAAUUGACCAAUAUUUAAGGGAUUCGCUCUGUUCUUUCCCCUGUGACAGAUAUUGACAAUAAAAUAAUGAGCAAGGGCAGUCAUAAUUACUUUAACCAAAUAGUCAAACAAACAAAUACAAAACUGCAGUUGUUUUAUAAAAAAUAGGUAAUUCAUGCUCGACUUUAUAGUAAGAGGAGAAUUGAACAAAGCAAAGAGAUCAGGGAAAACCUCCCUGAGGAAGAAAAUAUAGGGAAUACUGAGUUGAGAUCUACAUGAUAAAUGCAUACUUACUGGGCACAAUGAUAGGGUGAAACAAAGUGGUCCAAACAGAGGCAGAAAGGAGGGUAUUUGCAAAUGGCCUGAGGUGAGAAUUAUGAGGACAGAAGGGCCUUGGCCCUGGAAAAAAGGGAGCACAUAAUGAAUUGACCUUGGAGAAGGAGGGAGAGGCGAGAUCCUGGAGGCCUUGAAGGCUUUGCUAAGGUGCUAAUUUCUUUAUUCCAAGAGCAAUGGCAAGCCACCAAAGAGCUUUCAGCAGAGGAAAUUUCAUGAUCAAAGAGGCAUUCUUCUCCUUUUCCCCCUCCUCUAGUCACUCAAAGACAGAUAUAGACAGUCUGUCUCCGGUCUGGCUUGGUCAGGCAAUAAGUUUCAGUUUGUGAGAGACAUUUUUUAAAAGAAAAAUAUUGAAAACAAUAUGUGUGUCUAAAAGAAGAUAUCCACAAAAUAGUGAAUGAACAAGAGAUAUUUCACAUGCACAAAGCAAGAUAAGACUUAUUUGGUAAAUUACACCUGCCUCUUAACAACAAAAACGAUAAAGCUCAGGAAAAAAGCUUUUCAAAAUUGGAUUAAUCAAUAAUAGCAUGAGUGACGAAUAGUAUUGAAAGUAUUCAAGUAAAAAUUAGAUAAUCAUGAAAUAACUUUCUACCCAGUGUGUUAAAUGUUGAAUUCCCUGAGUUGUAUAAUGGUAGCCUGCUAUUUCCAUAAGAAAACAUCCCCCAUCCCUCCUGUCCACCUGGGACAUAGCCCUGCCUCUUGUUCAGUUUAAAGGAACUCCUUGGUUUUUCUUCUGCGAAUCAACUGAAUGCUGGCCUGCAUCCCCUAUCAAAAGCCAGUCUUAAGGAGAGAUCUCAGUCAUUCUGACCCAUUUGUGACUUCCAUAUAAGCCUACCCAAAAUCUUUCAUUUGCAUAUUAGCUCUUUCUAAUCCCUUGGAUAUUUGCUUCGACAUUCUCUUGAUUCAAGUAACAUUAUUACACAACAAAACUGUAAUGCAGCAGUAUGAGGGAAACAAAAGAUACAGUUACGUAUGAGAAAGUCAGUGAUAUUAAGAAAGCUAGAACCAGGGAAUGGUGGAGGUGGGAGGAGGAGACAGAACUGAGAGGGAAAAAAAAUGGAAAGAGGGAGAAAGAGAGAGGAGAAUGAGAAUGCAUUGUAGGAGAUGAACGUAGCAUGUAUUAUUGAGUUGAAUGAAAAGAAAUUGAACUGAAUUUCUGUUAGGAACACUGCCUUGUUUCUUUAAACCUGGUACAACAAAUUAGGCCAUUCCUUUCUAUUGGUCUCAUAAAAUCCGUAUGGUUAGAUUUAUGAUUCCCAGGCUUCAGUAACUCUCAUACCAUUUUGAUUAUUUUUGUCGUAUCUGUCCUCCUUUAGUACUACUUGUUAUUUACUUAAUGUUAUACAUGAAAGUGAGUUUAUAUUGACACUAAAUAUUUCUUUUCUUGGGGGGAAAAUGGUGGUAAAGGGGUACAAAGUUUUAGUUAGACAGGAUGAAUAAGUUCUGGAGAUUUAUUGUACAGCAUGAUAACUACAGUUAAUGUACUGUAUACAGUUAACCCUUGAACAACACAGGUUUGAACUGUAUGGGUCUACUUAUAUGCAAUUUUUUUUUCAAACUCAGAUGGAAAAUACAGUGUUCUAGAGAUGUAAAACCCAUGUAUAAGCAGGGCUGACUUUUGUGUCUGCACGUUCUGCAGGGUUGACUGUGGGACUUGAAUAUAUGUAGAUUUUGGUAUACCU